AUACUGGUGGGUAGUCUGCACAAAUAGAGAUGACACCCGCGCCUUGAGGUACCUAGGUAUACCUGGGUUUACAGGUAUUUAUUACAAUAUCAAUUAUGCAAAAUGCAAAGCAGUUCAAUUCAUGCAAACUAAUUCUACAGAUGAAAUACAAAAUGCAGUAAUAUACCAGUAUAAUAAAUGUUACAUAAAAGAAACAAAGAGUUAAAAGUAUGUGGCAGUGCCCCUACAACUACGUUGCCUGGCAGUCAACUCGGACGAGUGACUGUACGAAAUUCCUUCGAUGCCUAGUCCCCAGUCCUGAGGUGGUACCAGGAAGCAGGGAAUGUCUGGAUGUUGUACUCCACCGUGUAUACAAGGAAACGGAGAAGGUCCCUAACCAUAUGUGUAUAUGGGCUUUGGCUCGUACAAGGAUGGUGCCAAGUACAGGUGUUAUGUACUUCCCGAGGUUCUGUACGUUGUAGAGAAGUGCACAACGUAACAGUUUAGUAACGUGAAACUUUCUGACGUAAAAGUAUUUGGCCUAAAAGGAGGAGGAACGGAUAAGUUAACGUAUAAGAGCGCAGCACUUGCAAUCUUGCAGAAAUAGUUUAGAUUUAAAGUAAAUGAUGAGAUGUAUGUGAUAUUAGAGAAAUUUGAGCUUACCAAGUGAUGGUGUGUGGCCAACGAAGUGAUCUUUCCGGGAGGAGGUUGACGAUAACUAUUGCACUAGCACUUUGCAGAAUCCAGAAGCUACUGUAUGCAAUACUUAAUUGACUUUAUUACAAAAGUUAUAGUGCAGAAAUCGUGAGUGUAAAUCAGCAAAAUAGCUUUUAAACGGCUUCAAACUGCCAAAUCAAAAUGGUGCCUCUUCACACAGAAUUACUACCCAAAAAACUCAUAAAUUCUUCAAAACCCGCGAAUUUUUGGGCCAAUGGAGGGGAGAUGACUGUUUAGGGAUUUUCUAAAUCUAAAUGGUUUUAAAUUAGCUAUCUCUCUCUGGUGUAUAUAAGGUUAGAUAGGUAUAACCACAGACAAAAUAUUUGGAUAAAGAUGACAGAAAUAAAUUGGGGUUAUGUUUAUACCUGGAAAAUGUAUCAACAAGAGAAGUUUGUUGUACCGAUUAUUAAAUUGCAAGUGACUCAUAUGCUGUUACUCUUAUACUGGGACAUUCUAAGAUGCACUCCAUCUCUGCGGAGCUUAAACGGAUAAGGUUAUGGACGGAUAUUAUGGACAAUGUUCGGAGGCUACAAAGGCUGGGGGGACACCAACUAGACUAGGCAUCGAUUGCUGAAGUACGUAGCAACAAGUUACCUGUACUAUUUAAUAAAUAAAGAAUUU